UCUCUAAACAAUGUCUUCGGUCUGACACAGUCCUCUGGCCACACCACUGCGGCCAGCUCCAUGCCGACCUCCUGCUCGGCCGCUGUGUCCACUGUUCCUAACUCCUCCUGGGAGAAGUCACCCCAGCUGAACCUCCAGAUAAUGAUGCAGUUGGAACAGGAGGCCAAGCCUUGGGCUAAUCCUUCUUUUUUGAUUUCAUGUUAGCACUUGCCAUCUGACCCAACCCCACAGCAUCUUUAUAUUCUGCACGUAUCUGCUCAGGGCUUCCUCUGCGCAGGGACCACGCUCAGUGUUCAAGGUAUAGUAGAGAGCUAGACAGGCGAUAGCCCCUGCUCUCGUGAAGGUCAACCUUUGAGGAGAAGACAGACAGCAAUAAUUUAAUGAGAGGAUAUCAAACAGGAUGGCUGCACUGAAGACAAGAAAACAGGGCAUUCAGGAGGAAAGAACAAAAUGAAUAAAGAGGGACAACGCUGGAGACUGAAAGAGACUGAGACGGUUUUGUUCAAAGUCAUUCAUUUUAAAGGAAACAGAACCCGAUCGAGAGAGCAAAGAAGAAAGAAAACUUCAUUACCACCCAAAAUAUGACUGUCCAGGGGAGCCUGGGUGGCUCAGUUGGUUAAGCGUCCCAGCUUUGGCUCAGGUCAUGAUCUCAAGGUUCAUAAGUUCA